CCCUUAGAUGUCCUGGGCCGCACGCGUGCUACACUGACGCAUACAGCGAGUACUCCCGGCUCCGCAAUGGCAGCUGGUAAUCAUCAAUAUGCGUCGUGAUGGGGAUAGAUCUCUGGAAUUUUUGAUCUUGAACGAGGAAUGCCUAGUAAGCGCAGGUCAUCAGCCUGCGUUGGUUAAGUCCCUGCCCUUUGUACACACCGCCCGUCGCUCCUACCGAUUUCGAGUGGUCCGGUGAACCUUUCGGACCGGGAGCAGCCUCGUGCUGCGCCUGGAAAGUCAAGUAAACCACAUCACUUAGAGGAGGGAGAAGUCGUAACA
rnacentral:rRNA from 1 species